rnacentral:rRNA from 1 species
GUGAGGAACCUGCCUUGGAGAGGGGAAUAACACUCCGAAAGGAGUGCUAAUACCGCAUAAUGCAGUUGGGUCGCAUGGCUCUGACUGCCAAAGAUUUAUCGCUCUGAGAUGGCCUCGCGUCUGAUUAGCUAGUAGGCGGGGUAACGGCCCACCUAGGCGACGAUCAGUAGCCGGACUGAGAGGUUGACCGGCCACAUUGGGACUGAGACACGGCCCAGACUCCUACGGGAGGCAGCAUG